ACGACGGGUUUUAUUAAAAAACCAUCGUUAUCUCAAUUGAAUUUAAAAGCCCCAUGAGUGGUCCACGAUUCCUCACACGCACCCACCGUUGUCGUACACCUGUAACACGAUAAGAGGAUACGAUAUCUCACACAGAGAGAAGAGAAACACACUGAAAGAGAGUUCUAGAGUGAGAAACACUGUCUUUAGAGAGAGAAAGUCUGAGAUCUGAUCGGAACUGAGGUAACGCUAGCUCCAAACCUACUCUAUGCUCUAUCGCGAACCUCGCUUUCUUCUUCUUCGUCGAUUCAUUUCUAUUUUAUGGAUUUAAUUUGGUGGAAGUUCUAGGUUAUUAUUGUUCUUUCUCCGUGUGCGAGUCGUUGUUUUCCAUAAAACCUUAGGUUUCGAAUUCUAGGGUUUGGUGAAGGUUUUAGGUUGAGGGAAAAUGAAUUAGGGUUUUUGGAUGUAUGGCUUUGGGGCCAAUAGUUGGAGAUGAUGGAGCCAAAGGGAAGCAGAGGUACACUAAUUGUAAGGUUUACACUAGGAAAGCGUUGAAAGGUUCGAAGAAAAAAGGUAACACCAUUAGCACCGUGAACGCUGUUCCUCCUCCUCCUCCUACCACCGUUGGGAACUCCUCAACAGAAGCCUAGUUCUUUGGGGAGUGAAAGUAGCUUUGCACAAGUGACAGGAAACACAACUAUGGAUUUAGCAGAGAAGAGGCUCAAUGAGCUUAGUUAGAAGCAAGAACUGAGAAGAGAAAUGGUAUUUUUUAUUUUAUUUUUUUAUAUAUUUUUGCCAUCUUGUUUUUGAUGGAGUUGAUUCUUGAUCCUAGUUUUCUUUAGUUAAAUCUAUUUAACUUUUCGAUUUAUGGUGCAGACUAUGUUUAAGACUCUGGCAAUAUCAUUUUCCACAAUGACCCUUUUCACAAGAAUUACACCUCUCUAUGGUUCUAGUCUUCAAUAUGCAGGCCUUGCAACUCUUGUUUGGGGGUGGGUAGUGGUUUCUUUCUUCACUUGGUUUGUUGGGAUUGCAAUGGCUGAGAUAUGCUCAUCCUUCCCGAUGACUGGUUCUCUGUACUUUUGGGCUGCCCAUUUAGCUGGUCCAAAAUGGGGACCAUUUUCUUCAUGGUUUUGUGCUUGACUUGAGACCAUAGGGCUUGUAGCUAGGAUAGGGACUCAGGCAUAUGCAAGAUCACAAACGUUGCAGAGUAUAAUCCUACUCUCAACUGGCACAAAUAAAGGUGGAGGGUACUUCACUCCAAAAUGGCUAUUCUUAUGUAUCUAUAUUGGCCUCACUGUUACAUGGGAAGCACUAAACACAUUUGCAUUGGAAGUGAUUGAUUUGAUCGAUAUAGUUUCAAUAUGGUGGCAGGUACUAUUACUUCCUUGUAUACACUUUUAACUGCCAUAGGAUGGCCUAAUCUAUCUUAUUCUGUUAGUAAAAGAACAUAAGUGAGUAAGGGGUGUUAAUUGGUUUUGAUUCACUCAAUAACCCAAAAAAAUGUUGCACUUUCUUAAAAAAAUUAUCUACUUUCGAUUUCUUAUUCAUUUCUCUUAGGGCAAUGGUUAAAAUUUUCAUAUUUUUUUUAUUCAUAUGCACUACAUGAUGAUGUUUUGGAAAAAGGAAAAGGUAAUCACAAACAAUUUAACUCAAACCCCUCUCUAAUUUUUAAAAUAAGAUUUAAUAGGGUGAGCUUAAUAGGGUUAGGAGUUUGGUGAAUAGGAUUGAGGUGAAGUUGGGGGUGCUUGGUGGGUAUGGUAAUUCUGAUAUGAUGGUGGAUCAUGGGAUUGGUAAUGGGGUUGGAGCUAAGAGGGCUCACUUGGAGGUGGCAACUGGUGUUGUUACACCUUGAGAGCCUACCUAGCCUUUGCAUCAGUUGAGUGUGUCAGUGUUGGAGAAUAAUUAAGGAGUUGCUGAAAUUGUUGAGAAGGAGAAGAAGACGCCAAAGGCAAACCAGUUUGCCUGUUUAUGAUCAGAUGAAAGAAAUGUUCCCCCAUCCUUGCCCGAGGAAGGACAAAUUCCAGUGGAUAAUGGGAGUAAGACCAGUAGUUCAAGCAGCUCCAGCGGUGAUUCAGGCUCUUCUUCAAGUGAUUCUGAUAGUGAUAGCUCCUCAGCCUCCGGGUCUGAUGCAGGGUCACCAAAAAUUUGAAUUCUUUCUGUCAGAUCUCUGGAUGGACUAUGGCUCGAGGAAUCCACACACGCAUCGGCAUUCCCAGCUCGCAUACUUGUCUCAGUCAUAUGCCUAUUGUUGUUAACACAAAGUAAAUUAUGUAUGAAUUUAAAACAAUAAGUUAGGUAAUUAACAAUAAUGUAAAUUGACUUGCAGAAUCUACAACUGUAUAACAAAGAUGCUGAGACAUUGACCACCGUGUGCUAUUUUAGACAGAUCUUCAUGCUUUAUGUACACCAUCUCUUUCUGA